rnacentral:hammerhead_ribozyme from 1 species
AUCCAAGUAACGUGUCUCAAAUAGGACGAAACGCGCAUCCUGGAU